rnacentral:lncRNA from 1 species
CUGGCUUCUAUCUAUGUGUUCUCUUUUUUCCAUUUUGGAUGAAUUGGAGGAUGACUUCAUUUUACUAAAUUAGAAAAACUAGAAAUAUCUAACCAUAUAUAUAUAUACAUGGAAGCAUCAAGCUUGUGGGGAGAUUAAUAAAACAAAAUAUAAGAAGAUAAAACCUACAACAACAGAUAAAUACUCAAAAAUUCAUCAAUGCCAUCAAGAAAGUUUUAGAUCAACAAAUCACCAAAACUAUUUCAUAA